rnacentral:lncRNA from 1 species
ACCAUAUUCAUUACUAGAGUCACUAUUACUUGACAAUCUCCUCCUUCAUAGCAAGUGAAAGAGAAGCAAGACAUCCCUCAUUCUCCACAACAACUCCAGGCAUAGCCACGGCUCGACUACCGACGAAACCCGCUUCUCGAACCAUAAUUUUUCCAAACUUCACCUGCCCGCCUUCGCCUUCGUAUAUAUGUCCAAACAACAACGCUUCUCGUCCAACAGACGCGUAUGGUUCAACACUCACCAACUCGGGGUUCAACACCGCACCCAUGCUAUCCACAUAAGCCCCAUGGUUCCAAGCAAUGUCCGAACCCAUUAAGUUCAUCCAUAACCCGAAUACAACCGAACCACUAGUCAUUUCCAUAAAAUAUUCCCCAACUAGUGUCCUGAUCGCCUGCCAUAUCGUGUCCAAGUAGACACCGGUGCUCCAUAUCAUUACGGUUUCGCCUUCUUUCUUCUUUCCUACAAGGACCCAUUUCGCUAGACCACAAACCACCCCGGCUAGAACCCCUGAACCGAACCAAAAACCCGGUAUUAGCCAAUGCAACUGGCUUGCAUCCCGCGAUUUUAAGUAAAGAACCGCGUUAAGAGGAGUGAAGAUAACCAUUCCCAUUAGAAAAUAAGGCGCGAUGAGUUGAAGCAACGGUUGACCCGACAUCAUCCACAAGUUCUUGUACCACGGUCUUGCAAGUGUCACGUUUUUGGUAUCGUUUUUUUCGAUUCGGGCUGCCAUCGGGCAGCCUGUGAGAUCAACUUUUACAUCAGAUUGUUGUAAGAAGUUCCUCCAACAUUCGGGCAACGGUUUGUUGUUGCGUAAAUGCUGGCAGAUCGAGUACACGACCGAUCUUCCAUGAUCCAUCGACGCGCUCUGGGAGCAUGAUGUAGCCCGUAUAACAUCGAUUUCACGGCUUUUUAAAUACGGGUUGAACUCCAAGUUACGAGAUUCUUCGUCAGUGAGUAGUUUAUCGAUCGUUAACUCGCCCACUUCGACAUACGGGUACUCUUUUUCGUCCCACGGUUUGGUACAAUCAAGUACGGUUUCACGUGCAGCUUCAUCAUCCGGCACUCGACGAAACUGAAACUGAAGCACAUACCGAACAUGUUCGCUAGAAUUCACACGACGCUUGAAAUCAUCGUCGAGAAAAAGAAGCGGGCGCGUGUCAUUUUCGUCUCUCGGGAUCGCACCGGUUUCGGGUGGGAGUAUACCUCUAGGCUCUACUUUCCCAAAAUCCUCAUCAAUUGUUUCAUCAAAUGGCCUUAACUUAAACUUCACAUACAUUUCUUUUCCAUCUUCAAAUCUAAACAACCUACAAAUAUUAGAAUAGUAAUGCAACUCCGCGUAGGAAUCCGCGUUCCUCAACGAAUCCCACAUCGCGUCGCGUAUAUGAGGAGCAUGUUUCACAUGCUCCUCGCGCGCCGCAGCUCCACAAACCAACCAUGUAGCAAAGUCACCAAUCGUUCGAGCGUGAAACGCUCGACCGGUUUUUAGUGUCAUAUCAACAACCGGCGUGUUGAUGUCGCUCUCAUCCGAAAGAAUUCUUAUCGCAGCGCCUCGCGGGUCAAGUCUUGCGUCGUCAUCAGAGCUUAAACAGUUGCUAUGACGAAUGACGAUCGGGUAACACUUUCCUGGUGCGAAAAUCUUGUGAUCCGGAAACCCGGGUACAUUUUCAUACACGCGUAACGUUCCUUUCCCAGCCGCACCGAUUCGAUGAAAGUAUCUCGAUUUAACUUUUAACGUCGCUGCGGCAAAGUUCGCCGCGAGAUUUCCUAGUACUUUCUUGUACUUUUGGUCCAUUUCUUCGAUCCGAUCGUCCAACUGAUGAGUCAUAUUCUUAACCAUAACCGGAUUUCGCGAUCCAACAUACACACCACCCGUUCGAAGAGUUGAAUUCAUGGGUGCAACCGAGAGUGCACCAAGAAUGACACUGGGCUCAACCACUGAGCCCGGUAAGACCAACCCUUGACUCCCGAUAACCGAAUUGUCUUCAACCUUCACGGGUCCACGAACAUACCCGUUUGAGUUAUAAAAACCCGCAACAAUGCGACUAAAAUCGCCUAAAUGGACCCCAUCACCAAUGGAAACCAAUUCCGGGUCAAUAAUCGGGUUAAUGGCCCGAAUAGAGCAAUGACUCCCAAUCUUUGCACCUAAAACGCGUAGAUACACGACGAAAGCUUCUGUCCCCGAAAGAAACUUUGCAAACUUCAAAUGCAGGGACGUCGUUAACCGAUGGCAGAGCCACAUUACUAUGUGGUUAUCUUGUUUUGAGCUUGAAAGCAUACGGUGCAAGACGGAUGUUAGGAGCGUGAGAAUUGUUCCAUGAACGAGGUACGCAAAUGCAAUGGUGAGCGCGAAGGUUAACGGGCUUGUGGGAACGUCUUGGAACAUGAUGAUGUAGGUGAUGAUAGUGAAAGGAAGCCAGUGAACCGAUGCGCAUAAGCAAAGAAAGGUUAAGUGUUGUAAGGAUUGAGGCUUUUGUAGUAGCCAUAUGUAGAGAGUGUAACUGAUGGCUGCAGAUAAAGAGCUUAAGAAACCAACCAUGUAGAUGCCCAUAAUAUGGUAAAAUGCCUCUAACUCCAUCAGGGAGGAAACUGGCGACAAACUCGAAAGAUUAGGGAGCAAACUGGCGACAAACUCGAAAGAUCAGGGAGGAAAAUGGCUAUUUUUAAACUAUUGGAGCAAAACCGUUAAAAUGACCAAACCACAGGGAGCAAAACGGAAGUUUACUCUAAAUAAUUAGUGUGUCAAAUAUGGUUACAUAUGUUGGAAUAUAUUGAAAUAAGAGGUUUUAUGUAUUAAAAAUACACUUUGUACGACUUUUUAUACCCUUAAAACAACUUUUUUGUAUCAAAACACGAUAAGCAGU